rnacentral:rRNA from 1 species
GACGAACGCUGGCGGCGUGCCUAAUACAUGCAAGUUGAACGCUUGCGACUGGUACUUGUACUAGACGCAAGAGUAGCGAACGGGUGAGUAACGCGUGGGUAACCUACCUCUUAGCGGGGGACAACUAUUGGAAACGAUAGCUAAUACCGCAUAAUAAUUUUUAACACAUGUUAGGAAUUUGAAAGUACCAACUGGUACACUAAGAGAUGGACCCGCGUUGUAUUAGCUAGUUGGUAGUGUAAUGGACUACCAAGGCGAUGAUACAUAGCCGACCUGAGAGGGUGAUCGGCCACAUUGGGACUGAGACACGGCCCAAACUCCUACGGGAGGCAGCAGUAGGGAAUCUUCGGCAAUGGACGAAAGUCUGACCGAGCAACGCCGCGUGAGUGAAGAAGGUUUUCGGAUCGUAAAACACUGUUGUAAAAGAAGAAUAAGGUAAACAGGGAAUGGUUUACUGAUGACGGUACUAUACGAGGAAGUCACGGCUAACUACGUGCCAGCAGCCGCAGUAAAA